UUCCCUAUAGCUCAGUUGGUAAAGAAUCCACCUGCAAUGUGGGUGACCCAGGUUCGAUUCCUGGGUUGGGACG
rnacentral:tRNA from 1 species